rnacentral:rRNA from 1 species
AAUCUUCCACAAUGGACGCAAGUCUGAUGGAGCAACGCCGCGUGAGUGAAGAAGGGUUUCGGCUCGUAAAGCUCUGUUGUUAAAGAAGAACGUGGGUGAGAGUAACUGUUCACCCAGUGACGGUAUUUAACCAGAAAGCCACGGCUAACUACGUGCCAGCAGCCGCGGUAAUACGUAGGUGGCAAGCGUUAUCCGGAUUUAUUGGGCGUAAAGCGAGCGCAGGCGGUCUUUUAAGUCUAAUGUGAAAGCCUUCGGCUCAACCGAAGAAGUGCAUUGGAAACUGGGAGACUUGAGUGCAGAAGAGGACAGUGGAACUCCAUGUGUA